rnacentral:rRNA from 1 species
AUUGAACGCUGGCGGUAUGCUUAACACAUGCAAGUCGAACGGAAACGAUGGAAGCUUGCUUCCAGGCGUCGAGUGGCGGACGGGUGAGUAACGCGUAGGAAUCUACCCAGUAGUGGGGGACAACCAGAGGAAACUCUGGCUAAUACCGCAUAAUCCCUACGGGGAGAAGAGGGCCUCUUCUUGAAAGCUCUUGCUAUUGGAUGAGCCUGCGUGAGAUUAGCUAGUUGGUAGGGUAAAGGCCUACCAAGGCGACGAUCUCUAGCUGGUCUGAGAGGACGUUCAGCCACACUGGGACUGAGACACGGCCCAG